rnacentral:misc_RNA from 1 species
UCGGAUGAUGCCAUACCCAACGCUAUCACCUUAGCUSGCCGACAAUAAAGAAGCCAUGCUAAAGCACAAGCGAUGGGUUGACAGUCAUUCAUAUGGAUAAAUCAAAGGAAUGAGGCCUAAUGGCACUCAACCAAUAAUGUACACUGCAUCCACAAGCAUUCAAGGCACCGAUGGUCUUCCUUGGGGAGAUGGGGGCAAAAGCCAUGCAAUCAUCCAAGAGGCCAUAGGCACCGCUAUGCACCCACUCCUAUACUGCACAAAACAGAGGGAGAGGGAGAGAGAGAGAGUAUAGCACCGAGUCAUAUUUCACGAAUGAAAGACUAUGUACAUAACACAGGCAAAUCGCGUGGUACCAAUGGCAACAAUGGACCAAAUAGUGAAGGGUUGCACUAAUUUCGGUUGAGAGCACAAGGCGCAGAGCCCGCCAUUACAUGCAACAAAUAAACCACUUACAUGCCGACACGGUCAUUCUAUGUACACCGCCCUAUCGCCCACAUGCAUCCAUAUG